CCCCGGUAAACGGCGGCCGUAACUAUAACGGUCCUAAGGUAGCGAAAUUCCUUGUCGGGUAAGUUCCGACCUGCACGAAUGGCGUAAUGAUGGCCAGGCUGUCUCCACCCGAGACUCAGUGAAAUUGAACUCGCUGUGAAGAUGCAGUGUACCCGCGGCAAGACGGAAAGACCCCGUGAACCUUUACUAUAGCUUGACACUGAACAUUGAGCCUUGAUGUGUAGGAUAGGUGGGAGGCUUUGAAGUGUGGACGCCAGUCUGCAUGGAGCCGACCUUGAAAUACCACCCUUUAAUGUUUGAUGUUCUAACGUGGACCCGUAAUCCGGGUUGCGGACAGUGUCUGGUGGGUAGUUUGACUGGGGCGGUCUCCUCCUAAAGAGUAACGGAGGAGCACGAAGGUUGGCUAAUCCUGGUCGGACAUCAGGAGGUUAGUGCAAUGGCAUAAGCCAGCUUGACUGCGAGCGUGACGGCGCGAGCAGGUGCGAAAGCAGGUCAUAGUGAUCCGGUGGUUCUGAAUGGAAGGGCCAUCGCUCAACGGAUAAAAGGUACUCCGGGGAUAACAGGCUGAUACCGCCCAAGAGUUCAUAUCGACGGCGGUGUUUGGCACCUCGAUGUCGGCUCAUCACAUCCUGGGGCUGAAGUAGGUCCCAAGGGUAUGGCUGUUCGCCAUUUAAAGUGGUACGCGAGCUGGGUUUAGAACGUCGUGAGACAGUUCGGUCCCUAUCUGCCGUGGGCGCUGGAGAACUGAGGGGGGCUGCUCCUAGUACGAGAGGACCGGAGUGGACGCAUCACUGGUGUUCGGGUUGUCAUGCCAAUGGCACUGCCCGGUAGCUAAAUGCGGAAGAGAUAAGUGCUGAAAGCAUCUAAGCACGAAACUUGCCCCGAGAUGAGUUCUCCCUG
rnacentral:rRNA from 8 species